GACGAACGCUGGCGGCGUGCUUAACACAUGCAAGUCGAACGAAAAGAGGGAAAGAGCUUGCUCUUUCCGGAAUUGAGUGGCAAACGGGUGAGUAACACGUAAACAACCUGCCUUCAGGAUGGGGACAACAGACGGAAACGACUGCUAAUACCGAAUAAGUUCCAAGGGCCGCAUGGCCCAUGGAAGAAAAGGUGGCCUCUAACUGUAAGCUAUCGCCUGAAGAGGGGUUUGCGUCUGAUUAGCUGGUUGGAGGGGGAACGGCCCACCAAGGCGACGAUCCGUAGCCGGGCUGAGAGGAUGGACGGCCACACUGGGACUGAGACACGGUCCAGCCUCCUACGGGAGGCAGCAGUGGGGAAUCUUCCGCAAUAGGCGGAAGCCUGACGGAGCAACGCCGCGUGAGUGAUGACGGCCUUCGGGUUGUAAAACUCUGUGAUCCGGGACGAAAAGGCAGAGUGCGAAGAACAAACUGCAUUGACGGUACCGGAAAAGCAAGCCACGGCUAACUACGUG
rnacentral:rRNA from 1 species